CGGAACAUCGGAACAUCGGAAAGCGGUAGAGCUCUCCAGCAGUAACCACCACCCACUCACUCCUGCUCUCCUGCCUCCCCCGCAGCUCCUCUCAGCAGCUUUGGUUGCUAGGCAACUCAUGCUAGGAAGUCUGAAGAUGAUAAAAAUCUGUGGCUCUCCAUACCCACUUGUCUGACAACUGCAGCUUGUCCCUGGCAGGCGCACUGUGGUUGGAAGCCUCUGUUCUUUGCAUCACACACAAACACACACACACACACACACACACACACAUACACACACGCCCCCGUGCGUGCACACACACACGCGCACACACGCAUGCAUGCAUGCACACGCACUCACGUGCACCCAUAUACUCAUACACCUCCCAGGCACUAAUGCGUGGGGGAAGGGCUCCUGUGGAGGCGCUGUACAGAGGCCUUCUUGGCAUGCACUGAACAAAUCCCAUGCAAGGCCACUCAGAACCUUAAACCUCAGAGGCAGAUAGGCAUCUCACUGGCCAGCUCUCGGGACAAGCCCCAAGGACAAGGGGCAUGUCGGAUGCCCAGCAGAGUAAUUUAUGCCUUAACCCUUUGUUGAGAUGGAAAUCGUCAGAUCAAUGUUCCCUUGUCAUCUGUUUCAUCUGAACAAUGUCAUCUGUUCCCCUGUGCAGUACGACCUUUACUGUCAGAAAUAUAUUUAAGAAAAUGUUCUAAAAGGUAUUUUAAAACAACCAACAACAGACAUUCCACUCUGUGACAAAGCAAGGCUGCAUUCUGUGACAAAGCAAGGCUGCAUUCUGUUUUAAAGAGGAAAGGGAGGGGGGUUGGGGAUUUGGCUCAGUGGUAGAGCGCUUGCCUAGCAAGCGCAAGGCCCUGGGUUCAGUCCCCAGCUCCGAAAAAAAAGAAGAAAAAA
rnacentral:lncRNA from 1 species